rnacentral:rRNA from 1 species
CCUACGGGAGGCAGCAGUGAGGAAUAUUGGUCAAUGGAGGCAACUCUGAACCAGCCAUGCCGCGUGAAGGAUGACGGCCCUAUGGGUUGUAAACUGCUUUUAUUUGGGAAUAAACCUCCUUACGUGUAGAUAACUGACGGUACUAUUAGAAUAAGGAUCGGCUAACUCCGUGCCAGCAGCCGCGGUAAUACGGAGGAUCCAAGCGUUAUCCGGAUUCAUUGGGUUUAAAGGGUCCGUAGGCGGAUUUUUAAGUCAGUGGUGAAAGCCGACAGCUCAACUGUCGAACUGCCAUUGAUACUGGAGAUCUUGAGUACAAAUGAAGUAGGCGGAAUGAGUCAUGUAGCGGUGAAAUGCAUAGAUAUGACUCAGAACACCAAUUGCGAAGGCAGCUUACUAACAUGUAACUGACGCUGAGGGACGAAAGCGUGGGGAGCGAACAGGAUUAGAUACCCUGGUAGUCCACGCCGUAAACGAUCAUCACUCGCUGUUGGCGAUAUACAGUCAGCGGCCAAGCGAAAGUAUUAAGUGAUGCACCUGGGGAGUACGCCGGCAACGGUGAAACUCAAAUGAAUUGACGGA